UAGGGAAUCUUCCACAAUGGGCGAAAGCCUGAUGGAGCAACGCCGCGUGUGUGAUGAAGGGUUUCGGCUCGUAAAACACUGUUGUAAGAGAAAGAAUGACAUUGAGAGUAACUGUUCAAUGUGUGACGGUAUCUUACCAGAAAGGAACGGCUAAAUACGUGCCAG
rnacentral:rRNA from 1 species